AACAAAGCUAUUAAGUUGGCUUGACACUAUUUGUUUUGGACAAAUCCAUGUUGACUGUUACUUAUCACCUUAUUAUCUUCUAGAUGUUUGCAAACUGAUUGCUUAAUUUUUUGCUCCAUUUUCUUUCCGGAUACAGAAGUUAAGCUGA